GUCAAUAACUCAGGGCUAAAGCCGCUGAGCUUGUAAGAAACAGUUCUUACUGAGAAUUGACUAGGUUAUAAGCCGUUCCGUUAACUGCUACGAACUUACCGAUGCUUCCCCAGUCUGUAUUAUCUUCAAGUCUAAUUGUUUAGACGUUGCGUCAGGGCAAGACAUGUUGUUAACGGUAGCCGAGGGGACUAAUAACUUUACUCUUGAG
rnacentral:sRNA from 1 species